UACGUAGGUGGCAAGCGUUGUCCGGAUUUACUGGGCGUAAAGAGCGCGCAGGCGGUCGUUCAAGUCGCGUGUGAAAGCCCCCGGCUCAACUGGGGAGGGUCACGCGAUACUGAUCGACUCGAAGGCAGGAGAGGGUAGUGGAAUUCCCGGUGUAGUGGUGAAAUGCGUAGAUAUUGGGAAGAACACCGGUGGCGAAGGCGGCUCUCUGGACCGAGACUGACGCUGAGGCGCGAAAGCGUGGGGGAGCAAACAGG
rnacentral:rRNA from 1 species